CAACACUGUAACCUGAUAAAAGUGAAGAAAAUUUUGUGAAAUACAUAAAAGAAAACGAAGAAAAUACAGCUUUGCUCAAGUAGGCCAAUAAUAUCAACAGUCAGCUUCAAAACUUUACGCCUUUUAGUUCACAUUCACUCCUCCGUUUGAUCGACAAGCAAACUAUAACUGAUAAAUAGGAAAAGCAAGUAAAAAAAAAAAAAGACCAUAAUGGCAGAGACUGCGAACAAUAUCCAUGAACGAUUCCAGACGUUCAUGAACGGCCUCGGCGACCGUUAUGAGCCCUACGUGCGCGAACACCUGUCUAAGGUGUACAUGGUCCUGGGCAGCACUGCCGCCGCCACUGCGAUGGGAGCCUUGCUCCAGAUGCGCGACUUCCUCGACCUGGGGGUUCUGGCGGCAGUGGCCACUUUGAUCCUGGUCCUGGGUCUUCACUUCUACAAGGACGACGGAAAGAACUACUAUACGCGAUUGAGUAUGCUGUAUGCCUUUGGAUUCUGCUCCGGUCAGACUCUUGGACCGCUUCUCGGCUAUAUAUGCAGCAUUAAUCCGGCCAUAAUUCUUUCGGCUCUCACCGGCACAUUUGUCACCUUCAUUACGCUAUCUUUGGCUGCUCUGCUAGCCGAGCAGGGAAAAUAUCUUUAUCUCGGCGGAAUGUUGGUCAGCGUCAUUAAUACCAUGGCCCUACUGAGUCUCUUUAAUAUGGUCUUUAAGUCCUACUUCGUGCAAGUGACUCAACUUUACGUCGGCGUUUUUGUGAUGGCUGCUUUCAUCGUCUACGACACCCAAAACAUAGUAGUGAAGUGCCGGAAUGGAAACCGAGAUGUAGUGCAGCAUGCUUUAGAUCUGUUCUUCGAUGUGCUGAGCAUGUUCCGCCGUUUACUAAUUAUCCUGACGCAGAAGCUCAAGACAUUCAUGGUUUAAGGCGCUUCAUGCCAACAGUCGCUGAUCACUUUGCAAAAGUUUUCCAUAAUGAAAUUCGCCGUGAAAAACCUUUUCAAACGGAGGAGCGAAAACAGAAUGAACGCCGUAAGAAAAACUAAGAAUGAGGCUUAAGGAUGCCAACCACCACAACAAAAACAUCUGACAAGGUUUAAAAAGGUUGGCAGUAAUAUCUUUUUUAAAAUUUAAUCGCCUACGAAAUAGAAAAAUGCCGUGUACAUUUGGCUUUAAAUUUAUACACAAAUAUUUAAUAUGAAACCCAUGCAAAUUCCCUAUUCAAUAAAAGCCACUACAGUAAACCAUC